UACGUAGGGGGCUAGCGUUGUCCGGAAUCAUUGGGCGUAAAGAGCGCGUAGGCGGCCAGAUAAGUCCGGUGUGAAAGUCACAGGCUCAACCUGUGAAUGCCGCUGGAAACUGUCUGGCUAGAGUCAGGUAGGGGAGAACGGAAUUCCUGGUGUAGCGGUGAAAUGCGCAGAUAUCAGGAGGAACACCGGUGGCGAAGGCGGAUCUCUGGGCCUUACCUGACGCUGAGGCGCGAAAGCUAGGAGAGCGAACAGG
rnacentral:rRNA from 1 species